rnacentral:rRNA from 1 species
GUAGGUUCCGAGCGUUAUCCGGAUUUACUGGGCGUAAAGCGUGUUCAGGCGGCUCAGCCAGUCGGGCAUGAAAUCUCUCGGCUCAACCGGGAGAGGCUGUCCGAUACUGCUGGGCUUGAGGGCAGGAGAGGGUGGUGGAAUUCCGGGUGUAGUGGUGAAAUGCGUAGAUAUCCGGAGGAACACCAGUGGCGAAAGCGGCCACCUGGUCUGCACCUGACGCUCAAACACGAAAGCUAGGGGAGCGAACGGGAUUAGAAACCCCGGUAGUCCUAGCCAUAAACGAUGUUGACUAGGUGUCAGCGGUCUAAACCCCGUUGGUGCCGGAGCUAACGCACUAAGUCAACCGCCUGGGGACUACGGCCGCAAGGUUA